CAGUCGCCGCGGUAAGACAGAGGUCCCGAGCGUUGUUCGGAUUCAUUGGGCGUAAAGGGUGUGUAGGAGGCCAGGUAAGUCAGGUGUGAAAUCUCAGAGCCUAACUCUGAAACUGCGCUUGAUACUGCUUGGCUAGAGGAUCGGAGGGGGUAACGGAAUUUAUGGCGUAGCAGUGAAAUGCGUAGAUAUCAUAAGGAACACCGGUGGCGAAGGCAGUUACCUGGAAGAUUCCUGACUCUGAGACACGAAAGCCAGGGGAGCAAACGGGAUUAGAUACCCCCGUAGUCCCUGUCUCUUAUAC
rnacentral:rRNA from 1 species